rnacentral:rRNA from 1 species
CCGCGGUACCCUAACCGCGCGAAGGUAGCAUAAUCACUUGUUCUUUAAAUGAGGACUAGUAUCAACGGCAUCACGAGGGUUGUACUGUCUCCUUUCUCCAAUCAAUGAAACUGAUCUCUCCGUGAAGAAGCGGGGAUAAAUCUAUAAGACGAGAAGACCCCAUGGAGCUUUAAACCUACUACACCCCCCCCCCCCCCCCCCCCCCACACCCACAAAACUAACGGGGCCCUGUAUAUGUCGGUUUUAGGUUGGGGUGACCGCGGAGCACAAACAAACCUCCACGAUGGAUGGAAUUAUCUUCUUAUUUAAGAACUACACCUCUAAAAAUUAGCACACUAACAUUUAAUGAUCCGAUACUCGAUCAACGAACCAAGUUACCCUGGGGAUAACAGCGCAAUCCAUUUCAAGAGCCCCUAUCGACAAAUGGGUUUACGACCUCGAUGUUGGAUCAGGGUGUCCUAGUGGUGCAA